UACGUAGGGGGCAAGCGUUGUCCGGAUUUACUGGGCGUAAAGAGCGUGUAGGCGGCCAAACAGGUCCGUUGUGAAAACUGGAGGCUCAACCUCCAGACGUCGACGGAAACCGUGUGGCUAGAGUCCGGAAGAGGAGAGUGGAAUCCUGGUGUAGCGGUGAAAUGCGCAGAUAUCAGGAAGAACACCAAUGGCGAAGGCAGCUCCUC
rnacentral:rRNA from 1 species